GCCUGGGUAGCUCAGUCGGUAGAGCACUUGCCCGCGAGGCAGGUCCCGACGGAGGUUCGAGUCCUCCCUCGGGCA